AGAGUACUCCCUCCGUUCGAAAAAGAUUGUCCCUUAAAUGAUUGUAUCUAGCACCAAGUUAGUGUUAGAUACAUCCAUUUGAGGCACAAACUUGAGACAAGUUUUUUCGGACGAAGGGAGUAUAAG
rfam:Triticum aestivum genome assembly, contig: Triticum_aestivum_CS42_TGACv1_scaffold_571094_7AS